rnacentral:rRNA from 1 species
CUCCUACGGGAGGCAGCAGUGGGGAAUUUUGGACAAUGGGCGAAAGCCUGAUCCAGCCAUGCCGCGUGCAGGAUGAAGGCCUUCGGGUUGUAAACUGCUUUUGUACGGAACGAAACGGCCUUUUCUAAUAAAGAGGGCUAAUGACGGUACCGUAAGAAUAAGCACCGGCUAACUACGUGCCAGCAGCCGCGGUAAUACGUAGGGUGCAAGCGUUAAUCGGAAUUACUGGGCGUAAAGCGUGCGCAGGCGGUUAUGUAAGACAGUUGUGAAAUCCCCGGGCUCAACCUGGGAACUGCAUCUGUGACUGCAUAGCUAGAGUACGGUAGAGGGGGAUGGAAUUCCGCGUGUAGCAGUGAAAUGCGUAGAUAUGCGGAGGAACACCGAUGGCGAAGGCAAUCCCCUGGACCUGUACUGACGCUCAUGCACGAAAGCGUGGGGAGCAAACAGGAUUAGAUACCCUUGUAGUCCCAUGAU